rnacentral:lncRNA from 1 species
UUCGCGGAUCGGAUGUCUUCCUUGCGUUUGUUGUCGACGAAGGACUCCGCCUUGGAUGCGCGGGGUCUCGAUGCGGCCGCCAUUUUUGAGAGGUAUAGAUCUGAUAAGAGAGUGAGAUCAGUGUUACGACGGAGGUCUUCUUCAUGCUUUUCCAGAUCCGUCUGAUAUGAGAUUGAGAUCAGAUCAGUGUUACGACGGAGAAAAAGGAAAGGCUAGAGGGAGCCAACGAGAGAGUUCUGGAAACGAAAGAGAGGAAAGGAGAUUUGAAAAUUUCAGUAGGGUUUACG